rnacentral:rRNA from 1 species
AUUGAACGCUGGCGGCAUGCCUUACACAUGCAAGUCGAACGGUAACAGGUUAAGCUGACGAGUGGCGAACGGGUGAGUAAUAUAUCGGAACGUGCCCAGUCGUGGGGGAUAACGUAGCGAAAGCUACGCUAAUACCGCAUACGAUCUACGGAUGAGAGCGGGGGAUCGCAAGACCUCGCGCGAUUGGAGCGGCCGAUAUCAGAUUAGGUUGGUGUGGAGGUAAAAGCUCACCAAGCCUGCGAUCUGUAGCUGGUCUGAGAGGACGACCAGCCACACUGGAACUGAGCCACGGUCCAGACUCGUACGGGAGGCAGCAGUGGGGAAUUUUGGACAAUGGACGCAAGUCUGAUCCAGCAAUGCCGCGUGCAGGACGAAGGCCUUCGGGUUGUAAACUGCUUUUGUACGGAACGAAACGGUGAGCUCUAAUACAGUUUGCUAAUGACGGUACCGUAAGAAUAAGCACCGGCUAACUACGUGCCAGCCGCCGCAGUAA